rnacentral:rRNA from 1 species
GACGAACGCUGGCGGCGUGCUUAACACAUGCAAGUCGAACGGGAACGCCCUGCUUUUUUGGGGUGCUCUGGUUGGGAACGGGUGAGAAACACCUGAGUUACCUGCCCCUCUCUUCGUGAUAAAUUCCUGAAACUGGGGCUUAUACCGGAUAGUGGCUCCUGCUGCAUGUUGGGCGUUGCAGGGUUUCGUCGGUUGGGGGUGUACUCGCGGCUGAUUGGCUUGUUGGUGGGGUGGUGGCUUGCCGAGGCUUUGACGGGUAGCCGGCCUGAGAGGGUGACCGGCCACGUUGGGACUGAGAGACGGCGCAGACUCCGACGGGAGGCGGCAGUGGGGAAGAUUGCACAAGGGGCGGAGGCCUGAGGGAGCAACGCCGCGUGCGGGAUGACGGCCUUCGGGUUGUAAACCGCUGUCGCCUGUGAUGAAGCGUGGUUGACGGUAAUGGGUAAUGAAGCACCGGCUAACUACGUG